GGGAAAAAUAUCAUUCCUGUCUUUUCCCUGAAGCUCUCCUUUUGACAGAAGACUGGCUGAGGAGCCACAGGGACGUGGAGAAACAAAGCAUCCCUCAGUCCUAUGGAAUCUGCUGCUUCUAUUCCAAGGAGAGUACAAACUACGACCUUGGUUGCACACUGGUCUACAGGGGACACAUGUGCAGACUGAAUGAAAUCCGGUGAGUUCGAAGCUUUAGUUACUAUGUCAUGUCUGCUUGCCUCAAGGACUGCAAGCUCCAGGAAGAAGAACAAAUGCUCACAUGACUCACUGUUCCAUGACCUCUGACAACAGCUGGCAUGUUUGAUUAGAUGAAUAUCAAAAUUAGAUGAAACUGACAUCAAAAUGUCCCCCCGGGUAAGAGUAAUGUGCAAGACAAUGAUAAGCUGAACACAAACAGGUCACACCUCUGAAAAAUCCUGGACUGGUUUACACACUAUAAGAUGAGAUGCAGAAAACCAAGAUGUAAGACACAGAGACACCAGAGCAUUAAGUCUGAUAUUUUUGCUACACUUUCCUGUUGCCGUCCAUGGUAGGCAACCUGUCUGCAGUCUCACAGCUUCAAUUCAAUGUUCUAAAAACUGAUUAAUUUUUGUUCUCUCCUGGUUCAGGUAUUUUUGCCUGUUAGUCAGACAAUUUCUUGAUCAA
rnacentral:lncRNA from 1 species